rnacentral:rRNA from 1 species
UACGUAGGGUGCGAGCGUUAAUCGGAAUUACUGGGCGUAAAGGGCUCGUAGGCGGCCAACCAAGUCAGACGUGAAAUCCCUCGGCUUAACCGGGGAACUGCAUCUGAUACUGGAUGGCUUGAGUUCGGGAGAGGGAUGCGGAAUUCCAGGUGUAGCGGUGAAAUGCGUAGAUAUCAGGAAGAACACCCGUGGCGAAGGCGGCUCUCUGGGACGGUACUGACGCUGAGACGCGAAAGCGUGGGGAGCGAUCCGG